CAGCUCCUUUCCUUCAGAUCCUUUGCACUGAUGGUUUUGUAGGAUAGCAGCUUUGUUCCCCAUCAAAUAACCCCUCAGAUUCUUUCCUCCCCCAAAUUUGUUUACAUUUUUUGCAGAUUGGUGAUUCCUUUUCCAUCAGUCUGUACCUGUGUUCAGGUACUGCUCCUCCCAUUUAUUUUAACAGGUGACCCAAUCCCAGUCUGGGGCACUUCCCAUCCUGAAAAAGGUCAAGCCACAAACACCAGAAAUAAUUAUUUUGCUUUUUAAGUAACAUGGAAAAAGAGGGAGAAUAAGAGAGGAACUAAUUCCCUACUCGGUUUUAAGACAGCAAGAAUUUAAGUCAAUUUAGCUCCUUGUGCUAAUUAAUACUCCCAAAGAGCUGUAAAAUGUAACAACAGGGAGGAUGAAUUAUUUAAAGUGGAGGUGACCAAGAGAAAUCUGGAUGAACACGAUAAUGCCUCUACUUUUCAUUUUCAGGCAAUAAAUUGCAUUAAAAAUGGUGGCAAUGUAUUGAAGAUUUUGGUAAAACUUUGUUCUCAGCUGUAGGGAGUUGUGUUUCUGUAGAGAUUUCCUGUGGUGCAGGACAGGGAAGGCAGGGCAGGAAGGGUAAAUUAGGGAGAAAAUAAGAUUUUAAUCCCAAAGAGAUAGAAAUGCCUGGUUUAGUCCCUAACUCUGGAUUUCUAGAGAGAAAACAAAUGGUGGUAGUAGGAGUAGUAAUGCACUGAAUUUAUUUAUUCUGUAAAUCAAGAGCUGGGUAUUUUUCUUGCUCCUUUGUGAAGGAAAAUUAUAGAAAUCUUUUCAGUGCUUCAGGGGAUUGAUACAGGUUACAUUCCUGGCUUUCAGUCUAGUUUCUCCCUCACCAGCCUUUGGAAUUCAGUGGGGCUGAUGGAUUACAUCAUUUCAGGAAUUAGGCCCUAAAUUCUGAUGUCUACAAAACAUAAAAGAGCUUGCUUCAAUUGUGUAAAUUUUCCCCUCAACCUGCAAUAUAUUCCUUGAAGACAAUAGAAAAAAAAUUCAUAUAAAGUUGUCUCUUUAUUUGGAGGUACUUUAAUAUCAGAGGAGAUUUGCUUCCAGCUAAGAAAACAUUUGUUACAGAACUAAAAAUGUUUGAUAUGCUGCUGUAUUAGAUAAAGUUUGUUAGUUCACAGUGGCACAGUGCUGAUAAUUGAAGAACUCGCAGGAUUUUCAGCAGUAAAAGAUCCCCAGUGAGUGCUGAGCUCAGUGGGAAAAUGUGAUGUAUAAAUCUGCAGUGAGAGCAGAGGAACAGGAGGGGAGCAGCUCUGGGAGCCCCACACCACCACCAAAGGACGUUAAAGAGAAAUAAAAGGGAAGAGAUGAUAUCUUGGGGCAUAAAAGCUGUUUCCAAAGAAUUUUCUUGUUAAAUAUAAUGUUGGACAAGAGCCCACGGAAAUUCUCAACUCACUGGAGACUCCUGCUGUCGCUUGGCAUGGUCUGGUCUAGUGGAGGAAUCAGCCUCUAGCCCUGUCCUGGAAUACCAAAUUCCAUGAGGAGAAGUGGUCACAGGAGAUAAUGAGAGAGAUGGGGAAAGUCCAGGCAAGACAGCCAUGCCCAAAGUUGAUGGAUAAAUUGGUUUUGUGUGAUGGGAUGAGGCAUAUCAGCUUGUGAAGAACUGAUGGCUACGAUGAAGGUUUGUUAUAUCCCAGGUUAGCCAAACCUGGAUGAUCUCAGAAGGAAUGAUGCAGGUUUGUUAUAUCCUGAGUUAGCCAACCAUGGAUGAUCCCAGAAAGAAUGAUGAAGGUUUGUUAUAUCCUGAGUUAGCCAACCAUAGAUGAUCCCAGAAGGAAUGAUGAAGGUUUGUUAUAUCCUGAGUUAGCCAACCAUGGAUGAUCCCAGAAAGAAUGAUGAAGGUUUGUUUGUCACUAUAGGACAUGAAACAACACAAGCGCACACCGCUGUUCUCAAGGUGAAGAAAAGGGAAGUUUAUUUUCUGACUCCAACAUUUAUAGUUUUCCAAAAGUGACAGUGGAUUGGAGGGUGACAGUGCCACCUCUCCAAUGACACUGGGCAAACCAACAGUCCAUCAAAUUUCUCCUCCUCCAUAAAAGAAUGCAAAACAAUUAGUUAUUUACGGAAAGUGUGUGAGAAAGUUUGCUACAAGAAUGUAAACAUCAGAAGGCUUAGAAAAUCUUAAAAAAUCAGGGCGACAUUUGUUAUAUCCCGAGUUAGCCAACCCUGGAUGAUCCCAGAAGAAAUAAUGAAGGUUUGUUAUACCCCAAGUUGGCCAAACCUGGGCGAUUUCAGAAGGAAUGAUGAAGGUGAGCCUGGAAAGAGCCAGAGAGGGAACAGCAAAGCCACCAGAGGAAUGUGACAACAAACUCCAGAGAGCAAAGGCAGUGCCACAGAGUGGGAGGCUCGGGCACCUGUUGUGACAGCUGUGACUAAGCAUACAAUGACCAGAUCAGGGUGAAUAAUGAGACAAUCUGCUCAUUUAAGAGUGGAUAUACAAACCCAGCAGGGACAUGAAACUGUUUUGCUUUGUUUUACUGAUAAUGUGUUAUUGGAGUCAUGUCUCUGGCUGUGUCCUAGAGUGGGUUCAAAACAAUUACUUACAUAACACAGGAUAUAUUUAAGUCAGGCAAAAGCAGGGAGGGAGAAAUGUGUGUAUCUCAAUUUCUGGUUAAGAAGGAAAAUGAAAUUAUGUUUUUCCCAAUAGAUUUAUUGAUUCCUCUUUUUCCAGCACAGGAAUCUCCAUCUCAAGGGAUGGAUCCCCCUUGCAAAACUUGAGCUGCAAAGUAAUCAAUGAACAAGACUAAGACCUGUAUCCCCCCCCUUUUCAGCUGCUGGUUCCUACCCUAACAACCAUUAAUUAUUCUAAUAGCAAACUCCUUAAAAAUAACUCAAUCAAUGCAUUAUCCAGAAGUUGGAGCCCAUCUCUGGAUGCCUCCAGCCUGGUCCAUGGUGGCCAGACAAUAUUUGGUGCAAGCCCUGAAGUGCUUUUCUCUUGUAGUGCUCUGCUUUAGGAUGGUCAAGUGUCCUAUGGAUCAACUUUGGGGUUAGUUUUGAGGUGGCAAAUGUGCUGCUUUCACAAAAUUUCUUCGAUAGGUGAAAGAAAAUUGUGUUUGCUGCUCACAGAGCAGAAUAACAAACAGGGAAAACAAAAGGAAAAAUUAAGCUCCCAAAGCCAAGAAACAGCAGAGUCCAGGGCAGCUGCCCAUGCUGCAAACCUGAUUCACAAGUGAUGGCAUUCCAUGAAAUAGUGACCACCCCCGCUUUAAUUUCAAAUUAAAACCAUACUGAGAAACCUGGAAUGCAAAGACAAGAUUUGUGGGAUGUAAAUACUUGGUGGGUGCAGCCAACCAGCACAAAAUAUCUUUGGAGGGAGCUCAGUCCCUGCUGGAGUCCCUGUGCCUACAGAUCAUCGUGUACAGGGAGUAAUUACAGCAGGGUUUGUCAACUAAUUUGGUGGAGGGAUGAAUUCUUUUCUAUUAAUCAAUGUAGGGAAGCAUGAAGCACCUAUAAACCAUUCAUCUCACUUUAGCUUCUUGUUUACCUUUAAUUAGAGUUGCUCUGAUUUGAUUGGGGGAAAUGGAGGUACCUUGGAAUAGAGAGGUGUCAGCUGGGGCAUCUUGGACACCACUUCCUGCUGUGGGAUCCUCAGGGAAAUGGGCUGGCUAGAUUGGAUUUUUAUUUCCGAAAUGUGAACCAAUAAAUUGGUCACAGGGUAAGACCCCUAAAUCAGAGGCAAAUAAAAAGAUACAGUACCAGCACCUCACCAAUGAGAAGGAAGUUUGCAGCAGUGUGAAUUAAUUCAUUUUUCAUUUACACCUGCUGUGGGUCACCCCUCUUUUCUCAUUUUUCCCAUUCCUUUAUUCUUAUAUUUAUGCACAAGGAGGAUAUUUACUAGGAACAUUUCAUUUCUUUGUCUACAGUUGAAACAGAGUAAAACCAAUGUUUUUAUUAUGAUGAUUUUAUUUUAUUUUUUUCCCUUUUAAAAUUGUUUACCUUCUUCCCAGAGUUUCCAGGAGGAUUAUAGGUAAGCCUGUGACAUCUAUACAAAGUUAUGGGAUGUUUUAUAACUGAUGUGUUGUGUGCGAUGCAGAUAAAUGCAACUGCAAGCAUAGGAAGUCCCAGCGGGUCACUCACAUUUCAUUUCAUUUUAGCUUGACUUUAAAUCAGUGAUAUUUAAUAUUUUUUUAUAAGAGAACUCUUAAAAAUGCUUUGAUAAAAUGAAAAGUCCUGGUUAAGCCUUGGAGUCCUACACGGCAGUGUGGAAAACUGCAGCUUCACUAAAAACCAUGCAGUAAAUGUGCCAUUCCUUGGUGCAUGCUUAUUAUGGGUAAAUAUUGUUCUCUGGGUAGUGCCUGGAAAUUGUAAUUAAUUUCAAAUACUCCCUCUUUUUGUCCACAUAUGCAGAUUUCAAAUCUGUGCCUGCGCCAGUUUUGACACCGUGCAAUGAAGCAUCCGAGCUCUCAGAUGUCUGGCUCUUCCGAGUUGUGAAAUGAGAAAACAAACAAACCCAGCCAUUCCAGCCCUGUCAAUCUCCUUCUCAGUGGACAGAUGCCCUGGUGCCAGAAAAGCUUCAUCCCCUGAUCCCACACCUCUUGGCAGUGCCAAAAAAAAAGCCAGAGAUCUACUGGAUGCGAAAGCACGACGGUUCCUCACCCCAAAAAAUGGGAUUUAUGGAAAAAUGGGCCACACUGGAGCUCCUGGGUGAGGCUGUGUGGGGAAAUGUGUGCAGCCUCUUGUUCUGGCACUCCCAGAUCAUCCAUCUGACCUGCUCCUGGAGCAAGGUGCCUCUGGACAGUGAUGGAUUAACUGGAGAGGGUCCAGGUUUCUGGAAUGAGCGGGGCUAAGAAUUUGCCAAGGGCAUCAACAGCAGUUUUCCCAGGCUCCAGCACAAGGAUUAUGUAGUCAAUCCACAAAUGACUCAAAUCUUUGAAGGGAAGGGCAUGGUUAUCAGAGAGGCUUUGACGACAGCAAGGACGGGAGUGCUAUCUGCCUUUUUCCAUCAGAGAUCCCCAUUCCCUCUCAUUAACAUACCCAGGACAUCAGCACAGCCAUCGGCCCGAGGGAAUCGCUUCCAACUUUUAAGGGAAUAUUCACAAAACCUCGCCCCUGCGUUGUCUCAGACAGAUCAAACCAGAUUUGCCUCGUGUAAGGGUUCUCCAGUCCCACUGAAGAUGUGAUGUGAUGUGAAAGCUGCUGCUGCUGUAAGUGGGGAGAGGAGAUGCCUCUACCUGCUCCCUGCCAGUGCCCUGCAAUGAAAAAUGCUUUUGGAGCAACACUGGAAAUAAGCCAUCAAAAUAUCUGAUUAAACCUCUUAGGAAACUCUCACUAAUCACCUUCCCUGCUCUUGAUGGAAUGUAUUUAUGCAUUAUAAAUAUACUUACUAUGUGUGUGUGCUCCAUAAAUCACACCCAGCACUUGUAUGUGAUGUAUAAGCACAUUCUAUAGAACACACACAAAUACAGAUGCCAAGCUCCCACAGAGUUCAUCACUGGAAAGUGUUUGAAGGAUCUGAUCCUUAAUAUUUAAUGAGCAAGAUGCUAUUUCCUUCCUCAGCUUUUAUCUCUGGUUUGGCAUAGUCAUUAAAUUUGUUGUUUCCUUGCAGGAUUAUAUAAUUUAUGACCUAAUUUUAGACUUUUGUGUAACCGCGUUGAGACACUCGUGGCGUAUCCCGGUUUCUCCACACGGAGUGUUCCAGCACCAGCCACCAGCUCCAGCACGAAUUCUGUGAGCUGCCUGUCAGCAAGGAGUCACAGGCAUGAAAGGAAAACAGCCCAACAAUAUUCAGGCAGCAUUAGAAGAUUAGUUUGUGGUGGGUUUUGCCCUGCAAAAAAAUAUGAUUUAGCAGCGUUUCCAGAGCUGUCUGCAGUGCUGGCAGGAAUCCCCAGGUACAGGCAGCACCCAGCAACUCUUAUUGCUGAAAAUAUUUAAUUCUUGUGACUUUCAGGCUGCUCUGGGACAGCAGUGCAGGGAGGGGUGUCUGGAGGUGGGGAAGGAUGACACUCAGGACUUUAGAGCCACUGCCAGCCCUCACAUCUGGAAUUUCCUCCCAGCACCAGUCCAGCUGCUGGGCUGAUUUUUUGCUGCACAAGGUGCUGCUGGAUAACUCCAAAAUGAAUUCUUCUAAAGCUGCAGCCACAGUUUUUUUGGUGCUUUCUGUGUGUCCAGAGUAAUUGAGAGAUGCUGUAAAUAGUGCCAUGAGCUUCAGUUAUUCUGUCAAUUUAACUAUAUUGUUGAGACCAGUCUUUCAUCAAAUGUAAUAUAUUGGCUGUUGCAUUAAUGCACCUUGAGAGCACUUUAUCCUGGUGUUCCAUAGGGAAGUGGCUUGUGGCUGAGGAAGGAUUUGAUGUUUCCUUUGUGCCUGCAGUGCUGUUUGGAGGAGUUUUCCUCUUUUUCUAUCUUAUCCUGAAUAUCCAGAAUUGGGGUACUCAGAUUAGCAGCAGGAACAUAAGGGACACCCCUCUAACACAACUUUGUGUAGAGGGUAAGGAAGGAAAAAGAAUCCUCAUGAAAAGGGGACAUUAAUUCUUGGAUUAAACAAAAUUGGAGAUUUUGUCUCCUUGGCUUUAAUGGAGCAGUUCCAGGAAAGCAGGAGAGAAGAAAGUGUUUUCAGUAUCACAUAAUUAAAGAGUAAAAUCAUAAUUCCAAUUACCAUUGCAGGCACUUCUGGCCUUGGGAAACCUAUGCUAAUAUUUAUUAUUAUAUGAUUGACCUCUGAUUUCUUCAUCAUUUACAUACCAACCCUGAUAUUCUUAGUAACAUCCUUUAAAUCAUAGAAGCAGGUGUCAGCAGUGCAUGAUGAAGUCACAUCCUGCAGAUUUUUUAUUUACUUGGUCUGGUUUUUCCUUGUUAAAUAACAUUGUGAGAUGCAGAAUCUCACCUCCACGGGGCCUCUAGGGGUGUAUAUAAUCAUAGAAUGCAUUUUCUAUAAUCUCAAAAAAUGAGUCAAUCCUAUCAGAGGUACAAACAGUUUUACAAAGUCAGUAUUUCACUCCCAUCACUGCCUGACAUCAUCUUCCUCAUAGCACAAGAAAAUAUUUACUCGGCACUUUGAGAUGAAUUGUCACAAAGCCUUUGGAAUGGAAACUAAAAAGUGAGAAUUAAAAUGGAAUAACUUGGCUUAAUGAAUUUAGCCUAUUUUCUGUGUGCUGGAUUUAGAUGUCAGAUGAUUUCUUAUAAAGUUUGGGAUGGACAUGGGCACCUCCAGUCCCUGAUCUUCAGUGAGGUGCCUACACAUGGAUCACAGAGCUGCCCAGAAUACCCAAAGCUGGAAACUGAUCCUCUUCUCCAUCAUCUGAAUAUUUUCUUUGCGUAAGUGAACAUUUCUCUGGAUGAAUUAAGACACUGCAUUAAUUUUCCAAGUGCAGGUGAGGUGCCAAGGGCUGCCUGGGGCUUUUCACUGCCUUCAGCAGAGUUGAUAAAAUUGUAUUUAUCCACAAAGAGACUGAAUUUUAUUUUUCAGAUUGUUCUGGGGAUGAGUCAAAAAGUUUAAAUUCUCUGUCUCCCACAUCCACUGCUCAUCCUCCUGCUGCUGUUCACUUCCAGAGAGCACAGCCAGGGGCUUUUCAGCAUCUCCUUGGGAAAUAUUUCCCAUCUGUGGAGCUGGGGAAAGUGGCACCCACCCGGAGAGGGCUGUCCUUGAUCAUCCUUAUCCCUCAUCCAUCAUUUUUUUACUGAAAUUUGAUUCCUCUGAACUUACAUUGCCUUAAAGGGUUUACCUGGCUCAGCAGGUGACAGGAUUUGGGAUGUUCCAGACAGAUUUUGCAUCAUUUGGGACAAAUCGUUAAGGUUUGUCAGCUUUAUCCAGUUGUCAGGCAGGUGAGUGCUGUUCCUCUCUCUGGACGCGCAUCCCUACAAUCACCCUUUGAUUUCUGGAUAUCAGUGAUGGAGCAGGGUCAGAGCAGCCCCGGAUCCUGCUCCUGGGGGCUGUCAGUGUGCAAUAACCAGCAGCAGCCCCUGCAAUGACACAGCCGGGCACCAAACACCUGCAGGGGAGCUCCUCGGGCCAAAUUCCCCCCGGCUCCAAUCAGGAUUUUUCCGGAGCUGGGACCGCUCAGGGCGAUCCCGCUCCUGGCUCAAGAGGCUCUUCUAAUCGACUGCUGAGAGACUUAUUAGCAAUGUAAAAAGGAAUCGCGAGCAAGGAAAGUAUUCUUCCUGGCUGAAAUGCGCUUUGUAAAAUUAGUUUUGCUGACAGGAGUAAUUGGGUUAAACUCCUCCUGGCUGUGGGUGCUAUUUGUUGCCCCUUAUCUUACCCGAGCAAAGGGUACCAAACUCUUUGAACUUUGUAAAUAAUUGUUUCCAAAGUGCUGGAUUUUUUUUUUUCUCUCUCUAUAAAUUCUGUAGAGAAAAGCUGUUUUCUAAUCCUCUCUCUGCCAAUGCUUUUACAGCCUUUUCCCACUCUUGAUUUCUUUCCCCUCUUUAGAUUUGAAUAUUUCUUAGAUAUUAUAAAAAUCUCUUUUAAGGGGGAGUGCAGAGCUUUUGCUCAGAUUGGGAAAAUCAUUCCUAGAGCUUUAAGAAACUGGAGAGAGAGGGAAAAAAAAAUAUCAAAUAGAAGAACUUUAUUGUGCACUGUGGCAGAUGUUGGGCUGUGGUGUGAAUGUGUGUCCAGUGCAGGCUCCUGGAUUCAGUCUGGAUUUUUCUCACUCCAGAUUCCUGAAGGGUGAAGGGGUUGGACCUUUCAUUCCUUCUGAGCUGAACCAGAUCCGGGAUUUGCUCCUCCCUCCCCAGCCCCACCUUGACAUUGCUGUGUCCCUUCUGUGCUGAGGAGAUGGGCGUCUUUCUCUUGCAAACACAAUUUUUUCUCAGUUUUAUUUCACUUUUGCAUCCACAGUAAGAAACAUUAAUGC